rnacentral:rRNA from 1 species
GACGAACGCUGGCGGCGUGCUUAACACAUGCAAGUCGUACGGUAAGGCCCUUUCGGGGGUACACGAGUGGCGAACGGGUGAGUAACACGUGAGUAACCUGCCCACAACUUUGGGAUAACGCUAGGAAACUGGUGCUAAUACUGGAUAUGUGCUCCUGCUGCAUGGUGGGGGUUGGAAAGCUCCGGCGGUUGUGGAUGGACUCGCGGCCUAUCAGCUUGUUGGUGGGGUAGUGGCCUACCAAGGCGGCGACGGGUAGCCGGCCUGAGAGGGUGACCGGCCACAUUGGGACUGAGAUACGGCCCAGACUCCUACGGGAGGCAGCAGUGGUGAAUAUUGCACAAUGGGCGCAAGCCUGAUGCAGCAACGCCGCGUGCGGGAUGACGGCCUUCGGGUUGUAAACCGCUUUCAGCAGGGACGAAGCUUUUUGUGACGGUACCUUCAGAAGAAGCACCGGCUAACUACGUG